CAGAUGUGAAAGACCCGGGGCGUCAACCUACCGGAAUUAGCAUUUGUAAACUAGGCAGACUAGAGUACUGUAGAGGGGGGUAGGAAUUUCUAGGUGUAGCGGUGAAAUAGCGUAGAGAUCUGAAGGAAUACCGGUGGCGAAGGCGGCCCCCUCGGACAGAUACUGACACUCAGAUGCGAAAGCGUGGGGAGCAAACAGGAUUAGAUACCCUGGUAG
rnacentral:rRNA from 1 species